GGGGAUUUAGCUCAGUGGUAGAGCCUUUGCCUAGCAAGCACAAGGCCCUGGGUUCGGUCCCCAGCUCCG
rfam:Rattus norvegicus chromosome 18, whole genome shotgun sequence.